ACUACGGGAGGCAGCAGUGGGGAAUAUUGCACAAUGGGCGAAAGCCUGACGCAGCGACGCCGCGGGAGGGAUGAAGGUCUUCGGAUCGUAAACCUCUGUCAGCAGGGAAGAACGGUCACUGUGAUAAUCAGCAGUGAAUUGACGGUACCUGCAAAGGAAGCACCGGCUAACUCAGUGCCAGCAGCCGCGGUAAUACGGAGGGUGCGAGCGUUAAUCGGAAUUACUGGGCGUAAAGCGCUCGUAGGCGGUAUGUCAAGUCAAGGGUGAAAUCCCCGCGCUCAACGUGGGAACUGCCUUUGAAACUGGCAAACUGGAGUGUGUGAGAGGAUAGUGGAAUUCCAGGUGUAGGAGUGAAAUCCGUAGAUAUCUGGAGGAACAUCAGUGGCGAAGGCGACUAUCUGGCACAUAACUGACGCUGAGGAGCGAAAGCGUGGGUAGCAAACAGGAUUAGAUACCCCAGUAGUC
rnacentral:rRNA from 1 species